GAAGUUGGCUCUGGGUGUUGUUCUUACUGCUGCAUUUUGUCGUUGAUGAUUGUUCUUGUUUCUCUUCGGGAGCAAGUAGAGGGAAGGGACUCCAUGUGAGUGGU
rnacentral:snoRNA from 1 species